rnacentral:lncRNA from 1 species
UCAAGAAAUAUUUAGUGAGAAUCUUUUAUGAUGAACCAACUAGUGAAGUCGAAAGAGAAGUUCGACAGGAAGAAGUUAGAGGUGAAGCAAGCACAAGCAGGCCUCAAAGAACAAGACACAUGCCUGCAAGGUUGCAAGAAUGUAUGAUUACAUCAGGUGAUGUGGUCAAUGAAGAAGGUGAGCUGGUACAUUAUGCUUUCUACGUAUAUGUCGA